CUGCGUAUAAUAACAAAGAAACAUGACCCUGAGGCAUCUUUCCUCCCGCAGGACCGCCGAUGUUACGCCCUUUGGGAAAGUGGGGAGGAACAGAAACCAGCAGCCAACAGCAUCCCUUCUCUGCUGGCCUUUGCCUGAAGGUUCCCCCAUCUCAGAGCAAGUAGCUCUCCCUCAUGGAUUCAGUCCUUUCAACACUUCCAUCUCCCCAAGAGGCUCCCAAGGCUACUCAUCCUCUGCAGUUGAUAACAGACCUAACUGAAAAGAACGGCUUUCUCUUCUGGUGACACCAGAAAAUUCUAGAAUUCACCCUUUCCAUAGCAUUAUGGAUGCACGAUUCCCACAGGCAAGUUUCUUGGCAAGACAAGGGCCUUCGCUGGCCAUAGAGUGUCCUCCUCAGCAUUCCCAACGAAGGAGCUGGGUUGCAAGAGCUGCAGCUAAUGGGGGGGGCUGUCCUCCCCCUUCCCAUCUCACCUGGCUGCUAGGUAGGAAAGCAAGACCCAGAGAGAGUUGUGGGAAACCCCGAAACCAGCUUGCUCUGUGCCGGAGCCAAAGCUGCGACUAAUAGAGAAGCAAGAUCUGUUCGGGUGUUGAUGCUGUGAGCCCCUCCGUCCUACACUCCGGUUGUGUAUGUGAGUAAAUAAAGCUAGAUAUCAUAAAGACGCCACAGUCUCCGCUGACUUUUGUUCCAAGGAAACUGAAGAUGGGGAAGCGCCUGGGACCCCUGGAAUCUCACCCCUCAGAGACUGGGGUAGUUUGCAGAUACAAACACACAUACAAUAAUUUGUGCCCGUGUUCCUAAUAGAUAACUAAGUGUGAAGAGCAUGUCAUGUGCUUUUGCAACAGCCCUCCUGGAAAUAAGGAAAUGCAACCCCCAUUGCUGGUUGACUCAAAAAAGCAACAAAGGAAUCUGCUCUGGUGUCCCAUGAGGUCUGUGGGGCCCUUAAGUAAGAGGAGCCAUUGCUUUUCUUUCUUUCCUUUUUAAAAAAAAUAACUUAAAGAAAUUUUAACAUAAUCAAAUAUUCAAAUUUCAUUUUACAAUUUCAAUUAACACCCCCCCGCCGCCAUGCGAAUUCCCCCAACUUCCCUUCCU
rnacentral:lncRNA from 1 species